AAUCAACGCUGGCGGCGUGCCUCAGACAUGCAAGUCGAACGCGAAAUUUCCCUUCGGGGAGAAAGUAGAGUGGCGCACGGGUGAGUAACACGUAGGUAAUUUGCCUUUGGGUGGGGGAAUAACUCAGGGAAACUUGAGCUAAUACCGCAUAAUGCAGCGGCUCGACAUCGAGACAGUUGUUAAAGCGGGGAUUGGAGCAAUCCGACCUCGCGCCUAAAGAGAAGCCUGCGGCAGAUUAGCUAGUUGGUAAGGUAAUGGCUUACCAAGCGACGAUCUGUAACCGGCCUGAGAGGGCGGUCGGUCACACUGACACUGACAUACGGGUCAGACUCCUAC
rnacentral:rRNA from 1 species